UGUUAAAGAAGCAGUCCUUGAUAUCAAGGACAGCAAGCUGCCAAUCUUGGGGAAGCAUAGAAGGGGAAGGGAGGCCAGGCUGAAGAAGACCCAUAUCCUCGAUAACCUCAUUAAUUUUUCGAAGGUCUUGGAGCAGACGCCAACUGCUUUUGCCAUGCUUUCGGAUAACAAAGACAGGAGUAUUCCACGUGCUGGUUGAUGGGACUAAAUGCCUGAGUUGGACUUGCUCCUCGACUAAUUCAGAAUCAGUCAGGGGUUUGUCUUUACAAAUCUGGUGAUAUGAAAACACAUCAAAAUUUGAAUCAGAGUCAACUUCUGGAUCCUGGCUGGGUGCACAAAAUCAGCAUUUGUGCAAAAGCAGGACUGUAGUUGGUGGAUCAUGGAAAGGGGGGUCAAGGUGCCCAGCUGGAACUUGAACUAGAUCUUUGUCAGGGAAAAGCAGAUGGACAGAACUUACUAACAACCGUCGGAGACUUUGGGGGAAAUUCCGGGUGCUACAGAGCAACCAGAGUCCGUCCUCAUGUCUGCGGUCCUCUGCAAGGAGCCUGUUGGGUCAGGGGACUCCUGGAUGGCUGGCAGCUGAGGUGGGCUUUGCAGGCAAGGAAGAUGAGGACAAUCUUUUUGGAAAUGUCCAGAUUGGCCACAGUAAAAGCAACGGACAUUGCUAAGGUUUGUCAUGGCUUCCCCCACUCCCUGGGUCACUGCAAAGGUAAGGGUAGUCUCUAGGGAUGAUGCUUUUGUGCAUGCAUCAACCAUUUGGGCUAUGGCUGGCUCAGGAUCCUGAGGUAAUGAUCUUAAAAUCUUUUUUGUUUCUGCAUUAGCAUUUGUCAUUAUAAUUUUGUGCAUCAAUUCGUCUCUGGCUUGUUCUUUGUCAAUUUGCCGCUCAACAGCUUCACGCAAUUGAUCUACAAAUUUUAUGAAUGUUUCGUCCACUGCCUGCACAACAGCAGAGAAAUUCUGCAAAGGGGUGCUCCCAUCUGGGAUUCUUAGCAAUGCAGAUUUAGCAGCAGCUUUUGUGUAAUUUGAGAUUUCAAUAGGGAGUUCUGCUUGUAUUUCAGGCUUAGAAUAUUCCCCCUCCCCCGCCAAUGCCUCUAAAAUGCCAUCACCUUGGAAAAUCUCUGCUAGGUCUGUUGGGGUGCAUUAGUUUAAGUUGGUUUAUUCCUGUACCCCCCAUUCCUGUUUAUGGUUCUGCCCCGGGCUCUCUCUCUCUCUCCCUCUUCUUGAUUGUCCCGUCAGUUACACUUUUAUCUCUCUUAAUCCCUCCCUGGCUGCCUGUCUGUUAUUCAGUGUCCAUGCCCUUCCAUCCAGAACCUUCUGUCUUGGACAUUGAAUGAUUGGACCAGAGGUCAGGGUUCAACCCCUAAUUUAUUUACACUGGACAUCCGAGUUGUUUGUUACGCGUUAUUCCCUCCUCUCAAAAAUUUAGAUUGGUCGCUGUGUUCUAGUUAUAAGACCUUGACAGGCAAGCUUUUUGGUCCGCGCCCGACGCACUUUCAAUAAAACACCUCCUUUUUUCCCUGUCGACGCGGUCCAAGCCUUUUCUCCUGCGGGUCGCAGCCCAGCUUCUCUCCCAACGGCUCUGGGGGUUUCUUGCCCUUCUGAAGGCAUUCCGCCUUAAACACUCUCCCUAGGAGGUCUCCUAGCGGGAGAGUGCCCUUCCCCCCUCACUGCUGCCGGCGGUGCUGGCCGGAGCGGGCCGGGUGAGUCAGAGACUCAGAGGUCAGCUGUAGCCGCUGCAUAGGUCGUUGUGUUUAUUAAUCAAAGGUUUGAGUAAUUUUUUCCAUUGAACCUCCCACAGCAGGAAUUCCAUAGGAGAAAGCAAGGCAGUUGCUAAAUAUCUUAAAUCAUGUGGAGUCAGCGUAUGUCCUCCAAAGGUUAAUUCGAGUGCAUUCUUAAAAUAAGGUGAUUGUCUCCCAUAAUGUUUUGCGGCUC